UUUCCACAGUUCCUUGAGCUGUAUAGGGAAGUCUCAGAAAAACCCUCUGCCCUGCAGAACUGCACAUGGGUGGUUUCUCUAUUCACACACAGCACGCCCAGGCACAUCCUCUUUGCCCACAGGAAUUUCUAGGACUGGGAUGCACCACAGCCCGUGAGAAUGGCAAAGCCACUUGAGCCCGAACCCCACGCCUCCUCCAGCAAGCCCUCACCGCGAUAAUCAUGAGCCGGGUACACCAGACAGUUGCCCGGAAGCGUGAAGAUCUUCUCGUGGACAGAGUGGUACAGGGUUUUGGCACAACCUGGGAGAGGACAGAGCUCAGAUGCUGGUCACCUUUCUGGAAGUCUGUGCGGCCACAUCCUCGAAUCAGCAAGGCAUCUCCAGUGAAGGCCAUGCUGUGGUCACUCAAGACAAAGGUGACACAGCCUGGGGUGUGGCCAGGACUGGCCCGGGUCUCCAAGGCCUGGAAGGGAUGGGACGAACAGACGCAGUCACCAACAGUCAUCAAGGCACCAGGCUCCAGAAGCAAGACCUACCCCAGGGCCACAUCUGGACAAAGGAAUGGAGCCGCAGCCUGGAUUAAAGUUCAUGUGAAGGUACAGCCCUCAGCCCCACCCCCAUACUGGCCAGGGUUGCAAAUCAGCUGAUUCAGCCAGUGGCAAAGACUCAAGAGGAAGGACCUUCAGAUCUUUGCUGCCUGAGAAAGCAGGGCUGGGGCUAACGUUUAAGGAGGCAUCCACUCACAGGCGAUGACCCUGCAUGGAUACCACCAUCCUACCAGUGAAUGCUACCUUAAAUAUCAAACCCAGUAUCUCACUGGGAUCAACCCAAUACUGGUCCUGGGCAACAAGAGACUCCUUUGGUAGAGAGUGCUUCUCCGGGGCUGGAGAGAUAGAUGGCUUAGCGGUUAAGGAUUUUGCCUGCAAAGCCAAAGGAUCCCAGAUGCGCAAGU